AUACGUAGGGAGCAAGCGUUGUCCGGAAUCAUUGGGCGUAAAGCGCGCGUAGGUGGACCGGUAAGUCCGCUCUGAAAGUCACAGGCUCAACCUGUGAAAGCGGGUGGAUACUGCCGGUCUAGAGUCCGGAAGAGGCGAGUGGAAUUCCUGGUGUAGCGGUGGAAUGCGCAGAUAUCAGGAGGAACACCAACGGCGAAGGCAGCUCGCUGGGACGGUACUGACACUGAGGCGCGAAAGCGUGGGGAGCGAACAGG
rnacentral:rRNA from 1 species